AAGGGUUAAAAUACUAUGCUUUUUGUUGUGAACAUUCUCAAAACCUGCAUUUAUGUUCUGAUGCAACAUAUUUUUGUUGCGGUUGCUGUUGCAAGGGGGACCCUUUAUAGCGACGCACACAGGGAGAAACGCGUGUCUGCUGCCAUAAUGUGGACGUUUGAGCAGCUGGUAAGACGUGUCUAGGCUGUCUGCUCCUGUGUGUAACAAAAUGCUGAAAAUUUGUUCUUUUCAAUGUAUAUUGAAUGUGUAAAUAUUGUAGCGACGGGUAUAUUGUGUUGCUCCUAGCUGUGGUUUUGGUGUGAGCUAUAGGGGGAAGUCGGGUUCAGCAUGUUGGUUGGAGCAAGCAUUUGGAGGAAAAAGGCGUAGAUUAAGAAGAGAAGAAAGCGUUGCUGUUUUACACACGUGUAGCUACGUGCUCCUGCAUCUAAGUCAGGGGAUGCUGCUGUGUGUGCCCGCUAAUAUUGUGCCCUCCUUGCCAUUGUUCCACAGGUAUGUUAAUUGCCAAAUGUUUCUAUGUUUAAUAUGCACUUGGAGGGAUUGCACCAUUCACUGUUAAGAGAAAAUACACUUUGUUGUGCACUUUAUAAAAUUUAGAAGUACAUUGUCUAUGGGGGCUAGAACGCCCGGUGAAGCCUUUAUUUUUUUUAAUGUUUUAUUUUUGUUAUUGAAAUGUCACUUUAAGAAAAUGGAUCCUUAAAUCUGAACAGUUUUAUUAUGUUGUACAAACAAACCCGCCCUGCUUUGCACCGCCCGCAUCGGGACUCGAACACACGACCUUCGAAAAGGACGGGGAGAGCGCUGACCACACGGCUAAAAGCCCAGACUGUCGACCGCGUGUCCAGCGCAGCUCUUAAGACAGAGGGAGUGAGGUUUACCAACAUACACUUGUGCAGCCUCACUAGCUGGCAUCCGUUACACUACCACCAGAGGGGGCUAACCAAACCAAGGAGGUUAGCUUUAUUUCAUUAAAUUGUUUUGUUUUUUAGGAUUCUUUUUUAGAUUAAAAUGUAUAGUGCCGCUCUUGCUCACCGGGGGGGGGCUUAUUUGGAAAAGCCCAAAUAUGUGAAGUUAUUAGAAAAUACUCAUUUUAAAAAUAAAAGACCAUUGUAAAAGAAUGAAUAAGCAAUAAAACAAGCUAGCAAGCAAGCAAUGACUAGCUAGCGAUGACACAAGAGACAUGCAUUGAUUGGCAAUGGUCUACAGCCAAUCACGACACAGAAAACAAUGGGCGGUUCAGACAACCGAGCAGGAGGAAAGACACUGAACUUCCCACAAUGCUAUUCUUCUUAAAGGGCCAGGCUCGGCCUGUAUCAGUGUUCAUACGCUGUAAAAAAUGAAAAAAAGCACUAAAAUAUGCAGCAAAACAGCAAACCGCCAUAGAGCGAGCACUGAUCUGUACUAAUAUAUCUGGAUAGCUCAUACGUCGCACGCGGCCGUGCAAGCCGCUGAAGCCACAGAGAGGCCAUCUUAGCACUCACAUGUCGUACGUAGCAGACUACAUUGGCACAGCAUACAUAGUGUACAAAGCAGAUGAAGAGGCUAACAGAACAUCUAUAUUUGACAUUAAAAAGCGGGGAGAUUCUCCCAUUCUUUCAAGUAACGCAACCUUCGUCCCUUAAAAACCAUUUGAUACGUUAUUCUGUAUCUUUUGGCUAUAUUAAAUGUACUUUUUCCCUUCCAAUUCUCAUUGCCUUUGGGACAAAAUUCUACUGUGCACCCUGGCUCAGCACUCCCCUAUAGCAAUGAUAGUUUUACUCCUCUAGAAAGAGAUUUUCAUUUGAACUGCAUAUCCCAUCCCUUUUUUCCACUAAAAUCCAUGGUCAUGAUCCUUUACUUUUUAUUCUUACUUUCAUACAAUUCACUAUGCUCUCGUCUGUACAAAAUAUGAACCAUAAAAGAGACAAGUUUUAAAAUCAUUUUACAUUUUGAUGAUUUUUUUUGUUAGUGUUAUGAAAUAGAAAUAAGAUCUUUUCUGAUAUAGAAAUAUAUUUGAACAAAAACCACAGGAAUAAUAUGAAAUAUAAUAUGUAAUAAUAUAUAAACAUUGUCUCCUUAUGGGGGUUCAUUUGAAAUUCGGGUAAACAAAAAAAACAAACGUAUUUUUUUAUAUUUUUAAGCAACUGCAAAUGAUUUAGUAGUCUAGUGGUGGUUGUUUGUUUACAUAUCCCCCACGGCCCCCCAUGUAAAGCCCUUAUGACUCAGGUAUGGUAUGAUAUCCACAGAAUGUUUAAAAAUGAUCAUACCCGAGUCCUUAUGAUGAAGCUCAAGCACACCUGUUGUGCGAGGUUAGCCUGAAGACUAACCUUGCAUUUAGUGUGAGUGGCUAACAAACUAACAACACACUUAACAACUCACAAGUUCUCACAUAAGUCAUUGUCCGACUAGUGUUUCUUGCGAGUGGUAAUAUGGCAGCCGUGUGGCUUCACAAGUCAUUGACCAAUGGUCUAUCCAGAUAUAUAAUACAGAUCAGUGAGAGCGAGGAAACACAGUAAUCCAAAUGGAAUAAAAGUAAAAAAUAGUGAAAUGCGUACGUUGUUAUUGCAUCCAUUUAAAAACAUUUCCCUGUCAUGGGCUCAAGAGUAAUUCAAGUAGAGUGAAAAUGCAGCUAACAGUGACACAAACACCAAACCUCAGAGAAAAUGCUUCAUUUCACGCUUCACACUCACACUUGUGAACACCACACUCGCCUUCUUUCUGACUAGUGCUGAAAAAAAACAGUGAAAAAGUGUGAAAUGAGGAGGAUUUUGGUACCAAACUCCAGAACAUUUUUUUUUCUUUAUGGACAAGGUUGCAACAGUCUCACUCAGACUCUGACUGACUGGGGCCUGCCUGUGAGAAAGUUAAACACCCAGUUACAGAGGGAGGGUGACAGGCCAAGUGUGAGGAUCUUAUUUGUGAGUUUGUGGGGGCUGACUGUAUUAAAAGCAGAGCUAUAAUCUAUAAAUAGCAUUGUGACAUAUGUGUCCUGGCCCUGUAGGUGAGAAAGGGCUGUGUGGAUGGCAGUGUUGACUGCAUCAUCCGUGGACUGGUUCUGGCGAUAUGCAAACUGUAGAGGGUCCACAGUUGCCGGGAUGCUCUUUUUGAUGUGGGUCAUGACUAUUCUUUCAAAGCACUUCAUUACAAUAGGAGUGAGUGCUAUAGGGCGAUAGUCAUUCAAGCAGGUCACGUUGCUCUUCUUGGGUACGGGCACUAUGGUGGUGGACUUAAAGCAGGUCGGUACAGAUGCUUGUGCAAGCGACAGGUUAAAUAUGUCAGCAAGCACAUCAGCUAGCUCUGAUGAGCAAACCCGAAGUGCACGUCCUGAGAUGUUGUCUGGGCCUGCUGCUUUUCGUGGGUUUGUUUUGUUCAGAACCCUGCGCACAUCAGCUGAUGUCACCAUGAGAGGUGAGUCCUGUGUGCUCCCCAAGUUCAGCCACCCUCUCUGCUCAUCAGGAGUUUGGGUGUCAAAGCGGGCAUAGAACUCAUUCAGCUCAUCUGGAAGUGUGGUUUGGCUGGACGUGGCUACGCUACUCCGCUGUCAAUAGUCUGUGAUGUGCUGGAGCCCCGCCCACAUGCGCCGGGGGUCUGAGGUGGAAUAGUAGCCCUCCAGCUUCUGUCUGUACUGUCUUUUGGCCUCUCGUAUGGACCUCCUCAGGUCAUAUCUGGCCUUUUUGUAGUCAUCAGCGGUGCCCAUGACAAAUGCAGUCGAAUGAGCACGUAGCUUAGCCCUUACAUCACAGUUCAUCCACUGUUUUUGGUUAGGGUAUUUUCUGUAAUACUUGGUGGUGGUAACAGUCUCUAUGCAUGUGCUAAUGUAGCCAGUAACAGCAGAAGCAUAUUCAUCCAAAUCAACAGUGCAAUCUUCCCUCCCCGCUGCAGUUUUAAACACAUCCCAGUUUGUGCAGCCAAAGCAGUCCUGAAGUACUUGAUCAGUUUCUUCAUUCCACACUUUAACUGCUGUACUUACAGGGGGAGCUUGUUGAAGAAGUUGUCUGUAUGUUGGAUAAAGGAAUAUGGAGAUGUGGUCGGCCUUUCCAAAGUGUGGUCUUGGAACAGCCUUCAAAGCACCUUUCAUGUUGCUGUAGACUUGGUCCAGGAUUAUUAUGUGUUAUUAUAUAUGUUAUUUUCCCUUGUGGGAAAGCUCACAUGCUGGUAAUAUUUGGGGAGAACAGUCCUGAGGUUACAGUGGUUGAAAUCGCCAGAUACAGUCAUCGGACUGAUCACUGGUGGUGUUGAAACAUCAUACAGAAGAGAGGUGGCGGACCUCAUAGCUUGGUGCCGUGAUAACAAUCUCCUUCUCAAUACAGAUAAGACUAAAGAGAUGAUCAUCGACCCAAGAACAAGGGAAAAGGAGCUGCAUAGACCCCUGUUUAUUGAUGAGACUGAGGUGGAGAGGGUGAAAACCUUCAAGUUCCUUGGCACACACAUCAGCGAGGACCUCACCUGGUCUCACAACACCCAACAAAUUAUGAAGAAGUCCCAAAGGAGACUGUACUUCCUGAGAAGACUGAGGAAAUUUGGCAUGUCCACCACAAUCCUGAGUUGCUUCUACAGAUGCACUAUGGAAAGUGUCCUUACCGCCUCCAUCACUGUUUGGUACGGUAACUGUACAACACGAGAUAGGAAGGCACUCCAGCGGGUGAUCAAGACCUCACAGAACAUUGUUGGGGCAGCCCUCCCCUCACUGCAAGACAUUUAUAAAACUAGAGUCCUACGAAGAACACACAACCUCAUCAAGGACAGCACACAUCCACAACACUCAUUAUUCACACUCCUACCAUCAGGCAGACGCUACAGGAGUUUGAAGUCCAGGACCACAAGGCUGGCAAACAGCUUUUACCCACAGGCCAUCAGGCUUCUCAACGAAGCACUCACACACGCCGCACGCAACACACGCACACACUCAUAGCACUUUAUUUAUUUAUUUAUUUAUUUAUAUUAUUUAUUUGUAUUAAUGUAUCUUCUGUUGUUGUUGCUUAAUGUAUUGGUAUUUAUGUUUCUUAUGUUCUUAUUCUUUCUUGUGUUUUCUUUCUUUUCUUGGGAGAAUGAACAGAAUAAGAAUUUCAUUGCAUAGUAUAACUGCUGUUUUACCAUGCACAUGACAAUAAAACUCUCUUGAAUCUUGAAACAGUCAGACAAUCCAUCCCAAAGGUCUCAUCUGCUAGUCUGCCUGACUCCCCUGUAAAGCACACUUUUGACAACAUUGAGCCAAUCUCCACUUCUCUUCUUAAAAAAAUCAGUCCAACAGUUAAACCCCACCAACUGCCCUCUAGACGUUCUCCCUGCAAGGAUAAUGAAGGAGGUUCUAGAUACCAUUAGUCCCACCCUUGUUCUAUUUAUGAACAGCUGCUUCAGGCUGGGUAUUGUCCCCACUGCCCUUAAGCAAGCUGUAGUUAGACCACUUCUUAAAAAAACGAAUCUACACCCAUCAAGUCUAUCCAACUUCCGUACAAUCUCAUACCUGCCCUUUCUGUCCAAGGUCAUGGAGAAACUUAUCCUCUCACAACUCCAGUCAUAUCUGUCUAUCCAUAAUAUUGCUAACAAAUUUCAAUCUGGCUUUAGAACCCGUCACAGCACAGAAUCCGCGUUCUUGAAAGUACACAAUGACAUCCUCACAGCCCUUGACGCCAAAAACUCUGUAGUGCUGGUGCUUUUAGAUCUUACAGCUGCUUUUGAUACUGUGGACCACUCAGUCUUCAUCUCCCGCCUUCAACACUGUGUUGGCCUACGUGGCUCUGUGCUGGAAUGGUUCAUGUCAUAUCUCACCAACAGGACUUUUUCAGUAAUGAUUCAUGACUUCUCCUCUGCAACCGCUCCCCUCUCUUCUGGCGUGCCCCAGGGUUCCAUCCUUGGGCCUACCUUAUUUUCACUCUACAUGCAGGUGUAACCCAGGUUAACUGGAUGCUCAAAAGUAAAAGCCUGUUAAUAAAAACAGCAAUAAAUACUUUGUAUAAAAAAACAAUAUGAGACAAUGUGGUUAUAAAAUCUGUAAAUAUGUGUAUAAUAAUCUACAGUAUGUUGUUGAAAACCUGUUAAAAUGUGAAAAGUAUGUAAAUUCAUUGGUUAUUGUAAUUUACGUUUGAAUUACGGAAAUGUGACUUUUAUUUUGAAAGGGUAGGUUGCUACGUAACCCAUGUGACUAGCUCCAUUUCCUGUGCAGAGGAGGGAGAACAUUAUGCAGUCAGCACAUAGUGCGCAGCAGAAGGAGAAGAGCAGGAAACUUUCCAGAAAAAUAUGAAAACGUGUCUAAAUACUAUUUUUGUUCUCUGAAGAAAGUGCAAAGAAGGUAUUUUUGAUUUUCCACCGUGUUCCUGUUUUGGAGAUGUUUUAUUUUCUCGAACAGGACUUGGCCAAUUAGAUUGGGUUGAAGAACUACCGAGCUAGAUCGACAUAAGAGAACAUGUGCAGGAGCACGUGCUUGAGAUAAAGAUGGCGAGCCACCUACGGAACCUGUGAACUGCGCAUGCGCCAGGACCAGUUCAGGAGCAACAAGCCCUCUGCUGACCGGUGCAUGGUACUACAACUGGUAGGAUUAUCCAUUGUUUCUGCAAAACUGCAGUGGACCAAGGAUAACCGCUGGAUUGUCCAAGACAAUCAAAGGACUAACAAAUAGAAAAGAAAGAAAAAGACUUAAUUUGGUUAUUCAGUCUUUUGCUGAAUUAUUUUGAAUUUGGUACAUUGUUCUAUUCUUUUGGUAUUUUCCUUAAUUAUUGUGAAAGGGUUAUUUGUGCACUAAGUGAUUUGUAUGUUUGUAAACAAACUAACAAAUGGAAAUUCCAAAAACUAACUUGAAGGGAACCAGAAUAGAACUAAACUUGGUUUACUUUCAACCAAGUAGUUAGUAAUUAGAAAUGAUCAAGAACUAACACGCCCUAAACAAAAGGUUGCAACCGAGUACUAAACCAACAACGGAACUAAACAUUAGCCAUAAUACCAAAUAUAGUGUUAACAUAGUGCUAAACUUAAUUCUUUAAACCCAAAUAAGGUUUAAGAGAAAAAAGGUAGAAAGGUUUAACUCAUCUGGAAGUGUGUGUUAUAUGUUGUAUGUUAUAUGUGUAAAUGUUUCUGUCCAUACUUGUAUUUUUGUAAUUAUAAGCCGGCAGUUCAACUUA